rnacentral:rRNA from 1 species
GACGAACGCUGGCGGCGUGCCUAAUACAUGCAAGUAGAACGCACAGUUUAUACCGUAGCUUGCUCCACCAUAGACUGUGAGUUGCGAACGGGUGAGUAACGCGUAGGUAACCUGCCUGGUAGCGGGGGAUAACUAUUGGAAACGAUAGCUAAUACAGCAUAAUAUUGAUUAUUGCAUGAUAAUUGAUUGAAAGAUGCUAUUGCAUCACUACCAGAUGGACCUGCGUUGUAUUAGCUAGUAGGUGAGGUAACGGCUCACCUAGGCGACGAUACAUAGCCGACCUGAGAGGGUGAUCGGCCACACUGGGACUGAGACACGGCCCAGACUCCUACGGGAGGCGGCAGUAGGGAAUCUUCGGCAAUGGACGAAAGUCUGACCGAGCAACGCCGCGUGAGUGAAGAAGGUUUUCGGAUCGUAAAGCUCUGUUGUAAGAGAAGAACGGGUGUGAGAGUGGAAAGUUCACACUGUGACGGUAUCUUACCAGAAAGGGACGGCUAACUACGUG